UUCAUGAAAUUUUUACCCAGUUCUCUAAGCUGCCUCAUACACAGAAGAACUGUCUGACCUUCAGGUUUUCCAGUACACCCAGUCAUGACCUGCAUGGAGGAAGGGACUGCACCUGGGGACUACCUGGGCAAGGCCAGACUCUUUUCUGGUAGCAACAAAAGUGGACUGAGUUAUCCUGCUACUGACUGAAAGGAGAAAGAACUGCAAGUAAAUGCCCAGGCAGUGUCUUCAGCGACAUUUCCACACGUCCUAGGGGACAGCCAAGACAUUUGGCUAUUUCAUAGUGAGUCCAUCUGUUACAAGUCAUGACUGGGAUCCAGUUAUCUCUGGGCUCUCCUCUUCACAUUUCCAGUAAGGGACCAUGUCUGGCUCUAGAGGUCAAUUAAUUAAUCAAUUAAUUAAUUUUAUUCUCAUCCUAGGAAGUGUUAUCCUGCUGUUCUGAGAAGCCUGUAAGACUCUGUAGGGGUGGACGGUACUGUUUAUGAAAUAUGUACUAUUGUGAUUGUGACAUUAGCCUGUAACUUUUGCUCAUGACUGAUUUGGAAGGGACCUCACUAUGCCACUCUUCUGUGUUGUGCCCACUACCUCUUUAUUUUACAUUGAGGCUAAAAGUCUUUGGAGUGAAGAUCAUCUUUGUGUCCUGCUUUUCCACAGACUAGGGGAAGGGGAUAGAAACUGAUUUUGCAUUACACAAAUGAAAUCACCCACUGGAUUCCUGAGUUGCAGAAACAUUGGAAGCAAAAACAAAGGAAUAUGCAACCAAAGACGUUUUUUCUUGGAAAAACCUACUGAACAGAGACAUGUAUAUGAAUCCCUUAAGCACAUUUAUUCCUUUAUUAAAUUCAUUUGCAUAAGAUUGGUCCCCCCUCAUUACUAAGUUGGUACAUUUUUUUCCUAUAUACUCAAUAUUUGAGAACUUGUUUAUGGAUCAAUUAAAUCUCAGCUCCACUGUUUGCCUCAUCCACUGUUCAAACACUCUGGUUUGAAGUUCCUGAGUCAUUUUCCAAUGUCAGUCCGAAGCAACUGAAUUGACUCAAGUGACUGAUAUUCCAUGUACAGCAUUUAACUGGGAGCAAAGCUUGGUUUCCCUUCCAUGAUGGUGUGGCCAAAGUUAUGUUCAAAAAAAAAAAAAAUUCCCUCUUUUGCCCUAA